rnacentral:tRNA from 1 species
AUUUAAAUAAUUUAAUAAAAAUAUUGAUUUGUGGUGUCAAAUAUAUAUGUAUUCAUAUUUUAAAUU